rnacentral:rRNA from 1 species
CUUAACACAUGACAAGUCGAACGGUAACAGGUCUAGCUUGCUAGAUGCUGACGAGUGGCGGACGGGUGAGUAACGCGUGGGAAUCUGCCUUCUAGUGGGGAUAGCCCGGAGAAAUCCGGAUUAAUACCGCAUACGCCCUACGGGGGAAAGCCGGGGAUCUUCGGACCUGGCGCUAGUAGAUGAGCCCGCGUGAGAUUAGCUUGUUGGUGGGGUAAUGGCCUACCAAGGCAACGAUCUCUAGCUGGUCUGAGAGGACGAUCAGCCACACUGGGACUGAGACACGGCCCAGACUCCUACGGGAGGCAGCAGUGGGGAAUAUUGGACAAUGGGCGAAAGCCUGAUCCAGCAAUGCCGCGUGUGUGAAGAAGGCCUGAGGGUUGUAAAGCACUUUCAAUCGUGAAGAAAAGUUGCAGGCUAAUACCCUGUGACCUUGACGUUAACGAUACAAGAAGCACCGGCUAACUCCGUG